UAUAUAGUUGCUGGUUGCUUGCAGACUUCGUUGUGCAUCUGUUCACGAACGUGUGUUGGUGGACACUGGAGUAUUCGCAAGUUAGAACCCGCUGCAAAGUUAACCCCUUUUUGGGACCUUCCAGCCUCGGCGGUUGAAGCGUUCUAUCCUCCGAGGCAAGGUAUCGAUCAAAAAGGCUUCUUUUUUCCCGGCGAAAGAGGGUGGGGAAGAUUGGAUGCCACCCUCUUGUUGCUGUGGUAGUUGGUUCAUUUAUUACGUGGAGCAGACGGGCGGAGUUGGCUCAAAAGUGGGACGACUUCAAGAUCGUGCUCCCUGCAGAGCUGCUUUUCGGGAGAGAGAGUUUCGCCCAAAUCAAUCGACUUUUGCAACGGCACGGAAGCAACACAGACUCGGUUCAAAUUCGAGCUAGUUAUUCGAGAGUCUGCUGGAACGUGAGCGUGUCGUAUGUACCUUCCGUGUGCGACUGGAUUGUGCACGUUGAGAGUGGGCUCACCAAUCUCCGCAUUUUGUUUCUCGAGAAAUCACGUAAAUUUCAGACUAUAUCAAAUAGGGUUAAAAAUCGGGCGGUUCGGUAGUCCAUAAAUUAAAAAAAAAAACGAAUAAA